rnacentral:rRNA from 1 species
ACUGGGGAGGGUCACUCGAUACUGAUCGACUCGAAGGCAGGAGAGGGAAGCGGAAUUCCCGGUGUAGUGGUGAAAUGCGUAGAUAUCGGGAGGAACACCAGUGGCGAAGGCGGCUUCCUGGCCUGUUCUUGACGCUGAGGCGCGAAAGCUAGGGGAGCAAACGGGAUUAGAUACCCCGGUAGUCCUAGCCGUAAACGAUGGACACUAGGUGUUGGUGGUAUCAACCCCGCCAGUGCCGAAGCUAACGCAUUAAGUGUCCCGCCUGGGGAGUACGGCCGCAAGGCUAAAACUCAAAGGAAUUGACGGGGGCCCGCACAAGCAGCGGAGCGUGGGGUUUAAUUCGACGCAACGCGAAGAACCUUACCAGGGCUUGACAUGACCAGGACCGGGGCGGAAACGUCCCUUCCCCGCAAGGGGCCUGGCCACAGGUGUUG